UACGGGGGGGGCGAGCGUUGUUCGGAAUUACUGGGCGUAAAGGGUUUGUAGGUGGCCUGCUAAGUCAGACGUGAAAUCCCUCAGCUUAACUGGGGAACUGCAUUCGAUACUGGCGUGCUUGAGGACUGGAGAGGAGACUGGAAUUCAUGGUGUAGCAGUGAAAUGCGUAGAGAUCAUGAGGAAGACCAGUGGCGAAGGCGGGUCUCUGGACAGUUCCUGACACUGAGACACGAAGGCCAGGGGAGCAAACGGG
rnacentral:rRNA from 1 species